AUCCUUCUGGAGUUCAUGGGCAUGCUGUUUGGGUUUUCAUGCGUACUUAUGAGAUGUGCCUCCCUUGGGUCUUGUAACGUCAGCCCGUUAUCCAUCAAACA